rnacentral:rRNA from 1 species
GACGAACUUUGGCGGCGUGCUUAACACAUGCAAGUCGAACGGUAAGGCCUUUCGGGGUACACGAGUGGCGAACGGGUGAGUAACACGUGGGUGAUCUGCCCUGCACUUUGGGAUAAGCCUGGGAAACUGGGUCUAAUACCGAAUAUGAUCACGCGCCUCAUGGUGUGUGGUGGAAAGCUUUUGCGGUGUGGGAUGGGCCCGCGGCCUAUCAGCUUGUUGGUGGGGUAAUGGCCUACCAAGGCGACGACGGGUAGCCGGCCUGAGAGGGUGUCCGGCCACACUGGGACUGAGAUACGGCCCAGACUCCUACGGGAGGCAGCAGUGGGGAAUAUUGCACAAUGGGCGCAAGCCUGAUGCAGCGACGCCGCGUGGGGGAUGACGGCCUUCGGGUUGUAAACCUCUUUCAGCAUCGACGAAGCGCAAGUGACGGUAGAUGCAGAAGAAGCACCGGCCAACUACGUGCCAGCAGCCGCGGUAAUACGUAGGGUGCGAGCGUUGUCCGGAAUUACUGGGCGUAAAGAGCUCGUAGGUGGUUUGUCACGUUGUUCGUGAAAACUCACAGCUUAACUGUGGGCGUGCGGGCGAUACGGGCAGACUGGAGUACUGCAGGGGAGACUGGAAUUCCUGGUGUAGCGGUGGAAUGCGCAGAUAUCAGGAGGAACACCGGUGGCGAAGGCGGGUCUCUGGGCAGUAACUGACGCUGAGGAGCGAAAGCGUGGGGAGCGAACAGGAUUAGAUACCCUGGUAGUCCACGCCGUAAACGGUGGGUACUAGGUGUGGGUUUCCUUCCUUGGGAUCCGUGCCGUAGCUAACGCAUUAAGUACCCCGCCUGGGGAGUACGGCCGCAAGGCUAAAACUCAAAGGAAUUGACGGGGGCCCGCACAAGCGGCGGAGCAUGUGGAUUAAUUCGAUGCAACGCGAAGAACCUUACCUGGGUUUGACAUGCACAGGACGCCGGCAGAGAUGUCGGUUCCCUUGUGGCCUGUGUGCAGGUGGUGCAUGGCUGUCGUCAGCUCGUGUCGUGAGAUGUUGGGUUAAGUCCCGCAACGAGCGCAACCCUUGUCCUAUGUUGCCAGCGCGUAAUGGCGGGGACUCGUAGGAGACUGCCGGGGUCAACUCGGAGGAAGGUGGGGAUGACGUCAAGUCAUCAUGCCCCUUAUGCCCAGGGCUUCACACAUGCUACAAUGGCCGGUACAAAGGGCUGCGAUGCCGUGAGGUGGAGCGAAUCCUUUCAAAGCCGGUCUCAGUUCGGAUCGGGGUCUGCAACUCGACCCCGUGAAGUCGGAGUCGCUAGUAAUCGCAGAUCAGCAACGCUGCGGUGAAUACGUUCCCGGGCCU